rnacentral:tRNA from 2 species
GGGCCGUUAGCUCAGUUGGUAGAGCAGCAGACUCUUAAUCUGCGGGUCGCUGGUUCGAUCCCAGCACGGCUCA